rnacentral:rRNA from 1 species
AUUGAACGCUAGCGGGAUGCUUUACACAUGCAAGUCGAACGGCAGCGCGGACUUCGGUCUGGCGGCGAGUGGCGAACGGGUGAGUAAUGUAUCGGAACGUGCCCAGUAGCGGGGGAUAACUACGCGAAAGCGUAGCUAAUACCGCAUACGCCCUACGGGGGAAAGCAGGGGAUCGUAAGACCUUGCACUAUUGGAGCGGCCGAUAUCGGAUUAGCUAGUUGGUGAGGUAACGGCUCACCAAGGCGACGAUCCGUAGCUGGUUUGAGAGGACGACCAGCCACACUGGGACUGAGACACGGCCCAGACUCCUACGGGAGGCAGCAGUGGGGAAUUUUGGACAAUGGGGGCAACCCUGAUCCAGCCAUCCCGCGUGUGCGAUGAAGGCCUUCGGGUUGUAAAGUACUUUUGGCAGGAAAGAAACGUCGCGGGCUAAUACCCCGUGGAACUGACGGUACCUGCAGAAUAAGCACCGGCUAACUACGUG